AGGAGCCCUCAGAGGGCCUGACCAGCACCUGCCAUGCUCUGAGCCUCACACAGAGGUGUGGGGGUGGGGGUGGGGGGGCUGUCAGCCCUCUGUCUGGGGGGGGGGGCGAUAAGGGCUAGAGGAGGUCCAGAGGGCAGUGGGUCAUUUGCACCCCGAAUCACUGAGUAGUCUGGGUGGAUGCCUCCUCUGCUUUGGGCUGUCCCACAGCUCAGGGCCACGUGAACACUGCAGGGUUGAGUGAGGCCGCCACAAGCCGCUGCUUCCUCUCCUGCCUGAGGUCUUCCUGGCGGCACACCCACUAAGGAAGUCGGCAGGCCAAGGCGGUGGCUAGGCUACUCUCCAGCUCCGACCUCCUGCCCACGGCCCCCACAGUUGCUACUGUCUUUCUUCUGCCUGUGGCCCAGCCCCCCAGAGAGACCACCGGGGCAGCCGGCUGCUCGAGGUGGUAGGCAGGGGCAGACUUGUCUCCAGGCCUCCGGGCUGAGCAACAGUGGGUGAGGGGGGCACGGCCCUGCCCAGGCCUGCAGGAGCCCACAUUUGCCUUCUUCCUGCAGAGACUGCCAGGCCCCCCUUACGCCCAUUUCCAGGCCUCAGCUGGUGGCUGGCCUUGGCCUGCAUGCAUCUGCAGACCCCUUCCCCUCGAAGUGCAUUUGGGCUCAGGCAGCAGUUACGUCACCACGGGGAAGAAGCCAGACAGCAACUGGAGAAGGCCGUGAAGUGGGAGAAAGAGGCCCAACACACACGAGAACGCCACCCUCCAUGGGGCAUGCCAGCCACCGACAUGCAGGAAUCCUGCCUUUUCACACAGGAACCCUGAUGGGCAUGUCCACAGUCACAGGAAGUAGGUCAGGGCCACGUGGGGCUGGAUGCAUGUAGGGAGGAUAGCUAAAGGCAGGGGCUUUCUUUGGGGGUGAUGAGAAGGUUCCAGAACUGGCCAUGGUGGCUGUGGUGGCGGCCGUGUUUGCAGAGCUCAAGCCUUGCUGGUAUGAGGCUCCAGGCCCAAUCCUUGCCACCGCAUGCACCGGAGUGGAGUCCUGGUCUUUCACAGACUAAAGCUUGGUGAUGGCUGCAUAUGCUGUGACCCAAUGGAUAAUGCCCAAAGCAGGCCCACUGCCAUCCCUGUGAAGUGCCCUGGGGCAACUGGCUGUGUCACGGCCCUGGGACACAGCCUCCAGAGCUGCUGAGCACCGCGUGGCUAGAUGGUCCAGACCCCCCCCCUGCCCCCCCCCCCCCCCCCGCUUGGGCUUCUGGAAGGCCAGGGUGGUGGAGCAGAGGCUUGUGGGCAUGUCCCCAUCUGUGCAGGCGGUGACACAGGGCCAGCAGGCUGCUGCAGUUGGGGGGAAGAGGCUCGGAAGCACUUGGGAGGACGCAGUGAGCUUCACCUCAGGACCCUGGAAGGCGGCGAAGGAUGAGGGGGUUCGCCGCAGCUGGAUGCCAAGGGCCAGUCUCCUGCCUCCCUCUGGUGUCCCCGCCAGGUGUCCCCCUGCGGUGCAGGGUCACACUGGCCCUCCCCUUGCCUGGGGUGGGUUCUGGAAUCCUGGCCCCCAACCCAUUUCCCUGCUCAGCCUGCUCCCCAGGCGCUGACUAAACAUCCUGCCAUCUGCUUCCCAUUAGCUGGGCGGGGGUGGGGGCGGGGUGCUGGAGGCCCACUCCCAGGUUCCUCGGGCACAGCGGCCAGGAGGAGGGAGGGACCCUGUUCCUAUCCACCUAGAAGAAGGGGUGAGGCCUGGGGUUCUCUAAGCCCCCCACCUCCAGUGGAGUCCUGUCCAUGCUGCCCUUCCACUGCUGGGGAUGCUGGGGCCACUCGGUCACCUAUUGCCUCCACUGUCACGGCUCCUGGCCACCGUGGGCGCGCUGAAGGACCCGGGGGGGGGGGCAGAGGCAGAGGGAGUCCUUAGCCCACCCCCAGCCCCCACCCCCAGCUCACUCAUGGACUCGGGUUGAGACGGCAGGCCCAGAGCCAACACUAACCCAAGUGCUGUCUGGAGUGCAGGGUGGGAACCGUGUCGGUGCGUUCCAGGAACCAGGAUGCAGCCUGGGGGUGCUGGAAAGAGUUUGGGCUCCCAGCUCUGCCCUGGAUGAAAUGGUCGUGUGAUCUCAGGAGCUGGCCUCCUUGAGCAGGGCCUCCAACUCCCCACCUUGAUGUGGUGGAUGUGGGAUGCUUCGAAAGUUCUAGAACCUCUAGAGCUGGAAGGGGCCAGGAGAAGCUGUAUCCGACGACCAAGGCUGCUUCCAGCUGCACUGUCCCCCGAUCCCGAGAGCCAGAAACAGAUUCCUGCUCCUUCCCCGCCCUUCCCCGCACAUGCCACACCCUCAUGAGCAGGGACUCAGAUGGGCAGGGUGAGCCCCACAGCCCUGCCCAGUCCCCUUCACUUUGGCCAGUGGGGCGGCUCUGCCCUCACAAGGGUAGAUGGGACCCCAGACGCAGGAAUGUCCCGAGCCCCCGCCGCAGGCCGGGCCCUGGGUCACGAACCAUGCAGGGGGCAGUGAGAACCACAGAGGCGACUCUCCUUACUCUGGGGCUGGCCAUCUAUUGGGGAGCACGGGAACCCCCAGCAGAAGGCAAGGGGCGGAGCACGGUGAGUGGAGGCGGGAAGCUCACAGGGACUUUGAGGGACAUGAGGAGGACAGAGUCCUGCAGAGAGGCCCUCCCCAGAGGCCUCAAGGUGCCAGAGAGAGAUGGCCUGAACAUCACGGUCAGGUGACAUCCAAGAGGCAGUGCCAACAUAUGGGUAUGGAACGGGACUCCUGGCAUCUCGUCAUUUUGCAGACUGCUGGUAAAUCACCAAUAACAUGAAGUUAUAAAAAGGAAUAGAGAAAACGGUGCCACAUAGAAGCCUGAGAGCCUGGCUGCCACUUCCGCACUCCUGCCACCUCCAGGGCAGCAGCUCAGCCCCACUGAGUUGUCGAAGACACCUCAGGCCGGGAGCCGAGGAGCUGCCUGCCUGUUCUGGGAUCUUCCACAUGACACACCCACUCCUGGAGUACAGCAGAGGGUCUCUAGGGGCAUGUUCACACGUCAGUAGCGUGUAAAUAAAGGUCCGAAACC